CACUCCUGCGGGAGUCAGCAGUGGGGAAUAUUGGACAAUGGGCGCAAGCCUGAUCCAGCCAUGCCGCGUGAGUGAUGAAGGCCCUAGGGUUGUAAAGCUCUUUCACCGGUGAAGAUAAUGACGGUAACCGGAGAAGAAGCCCCGGCUAACUUCGUGCCAGCAGCCGCGGUAAUACGAAGGGGGCUAGCGUUGUUCGGAUUUACUGGGCGUAAAGCGCACGUAGGCGGACUAUUAAGUCAGGGGUGAAAUCCCGGGGCUCAACCCCGGAACUGCCUUUGAUACUGGUAGUCUUGAGUUCGAGAGAGGUGAGUGGAAUUCCGAGUGUAGAGGUGAAAUUCGUAGAUAUUCGGAGGAACACCAGUGGCGAAGGCGGCUCACUGGCUCGAUACUGACGCUGAGGUGCGAAAGCGUGGGGAGCAAACAGGAUUAGAUACCCCGGUAGUCCCAUGA
rnacentral:rRNA from 1 species